GAGAUCGUCGUUCAACCCGCAGGAUCCCGUUCAAGCCAGCCGGUUCGACUCCGACGGGAGGAUCCUCUUCUGCCUCGAGAUGACCAAAAACUUCAACCGAGACGAGGCCGAUGUCAUGCACCAGGUGAUCAUCCCCGGUCCACACCCCUGCAAUGCAUCGUCUGCAAGCCAUGAACGUGCGGUAACCUGUGCCUGUGAUCGCAGCGAGUCGAAGCGCUUCUGUCGAGAUUGAGGUACAUACCGUCCACCCUCUUCCAGUCGGAGGUCACCUACCUGGAGUUCCUGGACAGGGUGCACGUCUCCGAGGUGAAGCUGCGGUCCAAAGGCCUGUGGGAAGUUCCGCAUCCAUGGCUGAACCUUCUCAUACCCAGAACCAGGAU
rnacentral:lncRNA from 1 species